rnacentral:rRNA from 1 species
UGAGCAACCUGCCCUUGACUCUGGAAUAACAGUUGGAAACAGCUGCUAAUACCGGAUACGACCUCCGACGGCAUCAUCUGGAGGUGGAAAGCUCCGACGGUCAAGGAUGGGCUCGCGGCCUAUCAGCUUGUUGGUGAGGUAACGGCUCACCAAGGCUUCGGACGGGUAGCCGGCCUGGAGGAGGGCGACCGGCCACACGUGGGACUGAGAUACCGGCCCAGACCUCCGUACGGGAGCAG